CUGCUGCCUCCCGUAGGAGUCUGGUCCGCGUCUCAGUACCAGUGUGGGGGACCUUCCUCUCAGAACCCCUAGACAUCGUCGCCUUGGUGGGCCGUUACCCCGCCAACUAGCUAAUGUCACGCAUGCCCAUCCGUCUCCGGAGUCGCCUCCUUUGGCCGAAAGAAGAUGCCUCCCCUCGGCCACAUGCGGUAUUAGGCCGGAUUUCUCCGGGUUAUCCCGCUGAAACGGGCAGGUUGCAUACGCGUUACUCACCCGUGCGCCGGUCGCCGG
rnacentral:rRNA from 1 species